AUGACAACGGCAACCGGAAACCGGUGCCAUCUUGGAGUUGGCUUCCCACACAGGGGACCCUCUGACUGAACCAUACAAAGCAAGAGAAAUUUAUUGUUCCAGCGCUCUGGGGUCGCCCUGCACCCAAAGGAGAGGCAGCGACUCCAGGCAGGCCUAUACAUCCUUCUGAUCACAUCCCAUUCGAUGGAAUAAGCUAGCAUAAUCUAUCCAUAGCUACAGACUUCAAAGACUACAAGGAUACAGGCGUUGUCAUCCUGCCUCCUCAGUCCAGCUAAUAUUUAAACUAGAAAAGAAGGAGUUGGUUCGUGUGAUUCUGAAGGAAUCUGUUCCAAGAUCUGCAGGGCAAGUUGGCUGAAAAGACGCCGGAGAGCCAAUGGUACCUUCCUGCUCUGAAGAAAGGCAUGCUCAAGGAGACACAGCCAAUGCUUUCGUCUGAAUCCAAAGGCAGGAGAAAGUUGAUAUCGUAGUACACGGAUGAUGUCAUGAGUCGUCUCACAUAGGGAGUCAGUCUCAACCAUUUUAUUCUCUCCAAAUAGUCAACAGAUUAGGCAAAUCCUACCCAUGCUAAUAAUAGCAUUAGUAAUCAUUAUAAGUCACCUACAAAAAGGGGGUUCUUCCUUAACUAGUAUGCAGAUUUGCAUAUGACUCUCAUGUUUAUAAAAACUAUUCUUGAGGAUACACCCCAAAUAAUGUUUGACCAAGUAGCUAAAUACAUGCACCCCAAGCAAGUGGGCACUAAUGAUCAGAUCUAGAAACCUAAGAUAAAAAAAAAAAUGGAAGUGUCAAAUAUUUUUCCAACACUAAGCAAGAGCAUGGAAGAGCAGAUUUUCUGACAUCUGUGGUUCAUAGAAGCCCUUGUAUGACCUUUAUAUUACUUUAUUCUCUCAGAUCAACAAAGUAAGACCAUUUGGUCAUGUUCUAUAGACAUGAAAAAAAAAAAAAAAAAAAACCAGCAACGGUCUCUUCAGACAGUCUUAAUAAUCACUGAAACUUGCCCAAAGAUCAAAUGAGAAAUUAACUUAAAUGAAAGCAAUUCUAAUGAGAAAAGCAUACGUCACUACCCAGGUAGAAAUUUACUAAUGAAGCAAUCAACUGCUAUCAGACAAGGUGUGUGAUAUAUUACACAUAGUAUAUUCAAUAUCUAUGUAUGCCUCCAUCACCACUAAAUAUAGGCACUACUUUUUCAGGACAACACAGAAGAGAAAAUUAGGAUAAAAAAUGUUAAGAUGUGUUUUCUCAAGAUUAAGGCAAUUGUCAGACCAAUGGCAAUAUUGUUUACAUAAAACCAAAAUAUAACUGACUCUUUCAUAGUAAAUAGUAACUCAGUAUCAUAUAUGACUUGGAACUCCAAGGUAAGCUGACUCUGUUUUCAACAUAAUUUGCCCAACAAAGAUUUGCUGCACCAAGCCACCUACUUAGUGGCUUCCAAAGAAACUCAGGGAUGGAUGAGAUUUUGGUCUUAAACAUAAGAGGAACUUCAUUCCAUAAUCAGCUGGCAUGGGUGAGCCACAGGGUUCCUAGCCAUGGCAACUGCUGACAUCUGAAGCUGGUAAUUCUUUGUUGUAAGAGUCUGUAUUACAUACUAUAGGGAAUUUAGCAGAAGUAUCUCUGAUCUCAAUUCACUAGGCACCCGUAACAACUAAGUGGAACCAUAAAUGUCUCAAGACAUGGUAAAUUUUUCCUGGGAAUGAAAACCCUUCCAGUGUGAGAUCCCUGGCACUGGAUGAAAUUGUGACAGAGAACAUAAACUUUUGGCUGCAAAUCUGUUAGAUUUUUGAUUGGUUGGAUUCAUUGUUGUUCGUUUGAUAUUAUACCUGUGCUACCUCUUAAUGGGCGAAGGAUUUUUCCAUUUUCCUUAAAUAAUUAGAUUACAGAAGCUUCACCAUUGGUUUUAGAGGAAACAUCACAGAGACAAAAGAAAAUAUCUAACUAUAAAUAAUGGAUUUUUUAUACUUUCAUCUUCUACCUUACAGAAAAACAAUGAUAGGUGGUCAAAGAAAGUGUUGUACUUUUACGCCACCAACAACAGCAACGAAUCACAAAUUUGACAAAGAAAAUCCAAGCUGAAAAGGUUUUAGUUUAGAAUUCUUCAAAUUCUUCAAUAAUCAAAUUAAUCUUUAGGAUCACUUCAAAAAUGAGCAGCUCAUUGACCAAUGUUAAAGCUAUUAUUUCAUAAUAUACUUUCAAAAGUAAAAAAAAAAAUAGUAAAAACUUGUCAUUAGUUGCCUCCUUUAGGUCUUGAGUAUUUGACCUUGAUGGAGGUAGGUAUAAGAAGAAAUUGAACAUUUCACAGCUACAGUAAACUGUCUUGCACUACAUCUCUUUAUAGCUACAGUGUCAUUCCCAUAAGACUGCUUACCAUAAACAACCAAUGAGUGUGUUCACAUUAUACACUAGUUUAAUAAAUAAAUAGACAUAUUGUUAUUGUGGAAUAAACUCCAAUUUGACAAUUC
rnacentral:lncRNA from 1 species